rnacentral:rRNA from 1 species
UUUGAUCCUGGCUCAGAUUGAACGCUGGCGGCAUGCUUUACACAUGCAAGUCGAACGGCAGCGCGGGGCAACCUGGCGGCGAGUGGCGAACGGGUGAGUAAUAUAUCGGAACGUACCCAGAAGUGGGGGAGUAACGUAGCGAAAGUUACGCUAAUACCGCAUACGAUCUACGGAUGAAAGUGGGGGACCUUCGGGCCUCAUGCUUGUGGAGCGGCCGAUAUCUGAUUAGCUAGUUGGUGAGGUAAAGGCUCACCAAGGCGACGAUCAGUAGCUGGUCUGAGAGGACGACCAGCCACACUGGGACUGAGACACGGCCCAGACUCCUACGGGAGGCAGCAGUGGGGAAUUUUGGACAAUGGGCGCAAGCCUGAUCCAGCAAUGCCGCGUGAGUGAAGAAGGCCUUCGGGUUGUAAAGCUCUUUCGUCAGGGAAGAAACGGCUCGGGCUAAUAUCCUGGGCUAAUGACGGUACCUGAAGAAUAAGCACCGGCUAACUACGUG